rnacentral:rRNA from 1 species
AGUUUGAUCAUGGCUCAGAGUGAACGCUGGCGGCAGGCCUAAUACAUGCAAGUCGAACGGCAGCACAGCAGAGCUUGCUCUGUGGGUGGCGAGUGGCGGACGGGUGAGGAAUACAUGGGAAUCUGCCCAGUCGUGGGGGAUAACGUAGGGAAACUUACGCUAAUACCGCAUGCGCCCUUCGGGGGAAAGCCGGGGACCUUCGGGCCUGGCGCGAUUGGAUGAGCCCAUGUCGGAUUAGCUAGUUGGCGGGGUAAUGGCCCACCAAGGCGACGAUCCGUAGCUGGUCUGAGAGGAUGAUCAGCCACACUGGAACUGAGACACGGUCCAGACUCCUACGGGAGGCAGCAGUAGGGAAUAUUGGACAAUGGGCGCAAGCCUGAUCCAGCCAUGCCGCGUGAGUGAAGAAGGCCCUCGGGUUGUAAAGCUCCUUUGUCCGGAAAGAAAAGCGCCGGGUUAAUACCCUAGUGUCCUGACGGUACCGGAAGAAUAAGCACCGGCUAACUUCGUG